rnacentral:rRNA from 1 species
AACGAACGCUGGCGGCAGGCCUAACACAUGCAAGUCGAGCGCCCCCUUCAGUGCUCAGCGAUUGAAGCUGAGUACUGAUGGGGGAGCGGCGGACGGGUGAGUAACGCGUGGGAAUUUUCCUCAAAGGUACGGAACAACUCAGGGAAACUUGGGCUAAUACCGUAUGAUGCAGAGAUGCCAAAAGAUUUAUCGCCUUGGGAUAAGCCCGCGUCAGGAUUAGGUAGUUCGGUGGGGAAAUGGCCUACCAAGCCUGCGAUCUGUAGCUGGUCUGAGAGGACGAUCAGCCACACUGGGACUGAGACACGGCCCA